GUCCUUUAGUUUAUUUAUUUAAGGUCUGGCCUGCCCACUGAAAUUAUUUUAAGGGCCGCAGUAAUUUGACUGUGCAAAGGUAGCAUAAUCAUUAGUUUUUUAAUUAAAAGCUUGUAUGAAAGGUUGGACGAGGUAAAUUCUGUCUCUAUUUAAUUUAAUAUAGAAUUUAAUUUUUAAGUUAAAAAGCUUAAAUAUCAAUAAAAGACGAGAAGACCCUAUAGAUCUUUAUAUUAAAUUUUAUAAUUUUAAUAUAGAAAUAUUUAUUUAUUAUAAAUUUUAUUAUUUUAUUGGGGUAAUAAAAAGAUUGAAUUAAUUCUUUUUGAAUAUAUUCAUUUAUUUAUGUGUAUAUGAUCCAAUUGUUUUGAUUAAAAGAUUAAGUUACCUUAGGGAUAACAGCGUAAUUUUUUUAGAGAGUUCAUAUCGAUAAAAAAGUUUGCGACCUCGAUGUUGGAUUAAAAAUUAUCUUAGGUGCAGAAGUUUAAGAUUUUGGUCUGUUCGACCAUUAAAUUUUUACA
rnacentral:rRNA from 1 species